AUUUAUAGUAAGAGGAAAAUCCGUCGAUUUUAGAAAUCGUGAGGGUUCAA
rnacentral:tRNA from 1 species